rnacentral:rRNA from 1 species
GAGUUUGAUCAUGGCUCAGAACGAACGCUGGCGGCGCGUCUUAAGCAUGCAAGUCGAACGGUAAGGGAGAGCUUGCUCUCCCCUAGAGUGGCGGACUGGUGAGUAACGCGUGGGUGACCUGCCCUGAAGAUGGGGAUAGCUAGUAGAAAUAUUAGAUAAUACCGAAUGUGCUCAUUUACAUAAAGGUAAAUGAGGAAAGGAGCUACGGUUCCGCUUCAGGAUGGGCCCGCGUCCCAUUAGCUAGUUGGUGAGGUAAAGGCCCACCAAGGCAACGAUGGGUAUCCGGCCUGAGAGGGUGAACGGACACAUUGGGACUGAGAUACGGCCCAAACUCCUACGGGAGGCAGCAGCUAAGAAUCUUCCGCAAUGGACGAAAGUCUGACGGAGCGACGCCGUGUGAAUGAAGAAGGCCGAAAGGUUGUAAAAUUCUUUUGCAGAUGAAGAAUAAGAAGAAGAGGGAAUGCUUCUUUGAUGACGGUAGUCAUGCGAAUAAGCCCCGGCUAAUUACGUGCCAGCAGCCGCGGUAACACGUAAGGGGCGAGCGUUGUUCGGAAUUAUUGGGCGUAAAGGGUAUGUAGGCGGUUAGGUAAGCCUGGUGUGAAAUCUACGAGCUCAACUCGUAAACUGCAUUGGGUACUGCUUGACUUGAAUCACGGAGGGGAAACCGGAAUUCCAAGUGUAGGGGUGGAAUCUGUAGAUAUUUGGAAGAACACCGGUGGCGAAGGCGGGUUUCUGGCCGAUGAUUGACGCUGAUAUACGAAGGUGCGGGGAGCGAACGGGAUUAGAUACCCCGGUAGUCCUGGCCGUAAACGAUGAAUGCUAGGUGUAGGAGGUAUCGACCCCUCCUGUGCUGGAGUUAACGCAAUAAGCAUUCCGCCUGGGGAGUACGGCCGCAAGGCUGAAACUCAAAGGAAUUGACGGGGGCCCGCACAAGCGGUGGAGUAUGUGGUUUAAUUCGACGCAACGCGAAGAACCUUACCAGGGCUUGACAUUGAGUGAAAGAGCUGGAGACAGCUCCCUCCCUUCGGGGACACGAAAACAGGUGGUGCAUGGCUGUCGUCAGCUCGUGUCGUGAGAUGUUGGGUUAAGUCCCGCAACGAGCGCAACCCCUGUCCUUUGUUGCCAGCGCGUAAUGGCGGGAACUCAAAGGAGACUGCCGCGGAGAACGCGGAGGAAGGCGGGGAUGACGUCAAGUCAUCAUGCCCCUUAUGUCCUGGGCUACACACGUACUACAAUGGGAUGGACAGAGGGAAGCGAAGGCGCGAGCCGGAGCGGACCCCACAAACCGUCCCCCAGUUCGGAUUGCAGGCUGCAACCCGCCUGCAUGAAGUCGGAAUCGCUAGUAAUCGCAGGUCAGCAUACUGCGGUGAAUACGUUCCCGGGCCUUGUACACACCGCCCGUC